UAAUACGUAGGGGGCGAGCGUUGUCCGGAUUUACUGGGCGUAAAGCGCGUGUAGGCGGCUGUUUAAGUUGGGUGUGAAAGCCCGGGGCUCAACCCCGGGACGCCGCCCAAGACUGGACGGCUUGAGGACGGAAGAGGGGCGUGGAAUUCCUGGUGUAGCGGUGAAAUGCGUAGAGAUCAGGAGGAACACCCGUGGCGAAGGCGGCGCCCUGGUCCGUUACUGACGCUGAGACGCGAAAGCGCGGGGAGCGAACGGGAUUAGAUACCCCGGUAGUCCGCGCCGUAAACGAUGGUCACUAGGUGUGCGCGGUAUCGACCCCGCGUGUGCCGUCGCUAACGCAUUAAGUGACCCGCCUGGGGAGUACGGCCGCAAGGUUG
rnacentral:rRNA from 1 species